rnacentral:rRNA from 1 species
GUCUAUGGUCAUACCACCCUGAAUGUGCUCAAUUUCUUCUGAUCUUGGAAGCAAAGCAGAGCCAGCCUGGUUGGUACUUGGAUGGGAAGAAUUAGUGAACAGAAAGAUAAUAUUAAUA